rnacentral:misc_RNA from 1 species
CCCUUGUGGUCCUGAUCACUUGGUAACAGUGAUGUUUUGUCUGGGUGUUGGCCACCCUGUCGCCCCUCGGUUCGAUCAUCGUAAACAUGAUUGCUUUCACUGAUCACCAAUCACUUGAAUCACAGGACCACGUGGUCUCGCUAUUUUCACUCCCGGUCUCAUCUUUCUCCUCUAUCCUUUUCAAAUAUUCCACUGUUUUUUUAAUUACCGACUAUCACAAAUCUCUUUGGUUUGUCUCGCGAAUGUCCGAAGCGUCUUACUUAUCCGAGAUACAUUUCGGUAUCCAAUAGACCUGCACCCAAACUCUGGAUAUACCUGGUAUCUUCAAACGAUGCGUUUGCAAACACAAAGGCAGCAUAAAACUGCGAAACACCACGGCGUACUAACGAUACACUGCACUAAACUGUCGAUAGCCGUGAGAAGAACGAAGGCGGAGAAGAGAAACGACGUUCGUCGCAGCGGUCGCCUUCUUCCACACAAUUUCGCGUACGCGCUCGAGGCGCAUUACGGCCAGCGGCUUGUUAAAUAAUUAGAUUUAGCCGCGGCGGACAGUCUCUAAAUUGAUGUCACCGUCGUCGCCGACAGUCGAAACCUUAUGACGCACGAAUCGCGACUAUAAUGCGCAUCAUUAUCGCGUAGUUAUGGCCGUCAGAACCAAUAAACGCGUGCUGCGCCCAAUUUUCCUCCAUCGAUCAUCGUAUUAUCGACUUCUUAUCGUAUAGCCGUUUAUUUUCUGUUUCCACCUUCCUCCAUAGUCUUCGAUAUUUUGUCGUCGUUCGAGGUAUUUUUUUUUUUAUUCGAAUGUAAUUAAUACGUUCGACAAUUCCGACAUUCUCGCGAAGCUGUAUUUCGUACGUCGGAAUUUCCAAACAACUGAAUUCCGCACGC